rnacentral:rRNA from 1 species
GCAUAGGAAUCUACCUAGUAGUAUGGGAUAGCCACUAGAAAUGGUGGGUAAUACUGUAUAAUCCCUGCGGGGGAAAGAUUUAUCGCUAUUAGAUGAGCCUAUGUUAGAUUAGCUAGUUGGUAGGGUAAAGGCCUACCAAGGCGAUGAUCUAUAGCUGGUCUGAGAGGAUGAUCAGCCACACUGGAACUGAGAUACGGUCCAGACUCCUACGGGAGGCAGCAGUGGGGAAUAUUGGACAAUGGGCGCAAGCCUGAUCCAGCUAUGCCGCGUGAGUGAGGAAGGCCUUAGGGUUGUAAAACUCUUUCAGUAGGGAAGAUAAUGACGGUACCUACAGAAGAAGUCCCGGCAAACUCCGUGCCAGCAGCCGCGGUA